AGAAGACCCAAUUGAGUAUCGAAAAUCAGCUUUUCCAAUAACAUUUACAUUCUGUGCAGCUUUAAAAACCGGCACAGAUUGAACAGCAACUGCUAAAUCAUCACGUUCCUUCUGAGUAGCUUUUCUAUCAAGAUGAAGUAAAUACUGAUUUCUUGGAUGAUACACAGCAAACAACAAACGGAGGAUUCUAGAAGAGUCUUUAGUGGAUCCAGAUAUGAGAUAUGCAAUUGAAGGUGGGGUGGGUGGGGUGGAUGGAAGGGUAU
rnacentral:misc_RNA from 1 species